rnacentral:piRNA from 1 species
UGGUCAGAAUGUUGAUGUCCCAGUGGAAG